AUUGAACGCUGGCGGCAGGCUUAACACAUGCAAGUCGAGCGGGGUGAUGGUGCUUGCACUAUCACUUAGCGGCGGACGGGUGAGUAAUGCUUAGGAAUCUGCCUAUUAGUGGGGGACAAUAUCUCGAAAGGGAUGCUAAUACCGCAUACGUCCUACGGGAGAAAGCAGGGGAUCACUUGUGACCUUGCGCUAAUAGAUGAGCCUAGGUCGGAUUAGCUAGUUGGUGGGGUAAAGGCCUACCAAGGCGACGACCUGUAGCGGGUCUGAGAGGAUGAUCCGCCACACUGAGACUGAGACACGGCCCAGACUCCUACGGGAGGCAGCAGGGGGGAAUAUUGGACAAUGGGGGGAACCCUGAUCCAGCCAUGCCGCGUGUGUGAAGAAGGCCUUAUGGUUGUAAAGCACUUUAAGCGAGGAGGAGGCUCUUUUGGUUAAUACCCAAGAUGAGUGGACGUUACUCGCAGAAUAAGCACCGGCUAACUCUGUGCCAGCCGCCGCGGUAA
rnacentral:rRNA from 1 species